rnacentral:lncRNA from 1 species
CGGUACAAGAUGAUAUCAGUGCAAGCCCAGGAUCAGAACCAUGGCAACUGUCAAGUAAGUCCUUAAGUAUUUAAGAAAUACUAAAGGAUAGAUUCCUCAAUAAUUGAGGAAGAAUUAGAGUAACGUAAUGGAAACGUAAAUGUAUUAGAUUAUGAAUCUAAUCCAUCAUUGGAUGUUUCUUCAUUAUGAAUGAAGAAAUAAUCAGAUAUCUCUUUAUUAUGACUAAAGAGAUAUUUGGAUGGAAACAUUAAAGUAAUGACUUUAGUGUGUUCCAUUAUGAAUGCAAAAUAUAUUGCCAUAAAGAAGCUUACAACAAUGUUGUUUAGAUGGGAAAGUUCAUUUAUGAACUCUCUAUUCGGUUCCAACCAGAAAGUGUAUCUAGUGUAUCGACACUAUGACACUAAUGGGGCGAUAGCUCAAGCCAGGGAAUCAAGGUCUCAUCAAGAUCUGAACUCAUAUGAGAGACUGAACCACAUGAUUGAGAAUCAUGUAUAAUGGUGACGUCGUUAUUCUCAAGGUUGCCUCUAUGGAUAACAUAUAGAUAUCCAUUGUCUAGGCCUACUACUCAGCCAUUUAUGAAA